UGCCAGCCGCCGCGGUAAUACGUAAGUCGCAAGCGUUGUUCGGAUUUACUGGGCGUAAAGCGCUCGUAGGCGGAUCUUUAAGUCAGAGGUGAAAUCCCGGAGCUCAACUUCGGAACUGCCUUUGAUACUGGGGAUCUCGAGUCCGGGAGAGGUGAGUGGAACUGCGAGUGUAGAGGUGAAAUUCGUAGAUAUUCGCAAGAACACCAGUGGCGAAGGCGGCUCACUGGCCCGGUACUGACGCUGAGGAGCGAAAGCGUGGGGAGCAAACAGGAUUAGAUA
rnacentral:rRNA from 1 species